UACGAACCGAGCGAACGUUAUUCGGAAUCACUGGGCUUAAAGGGCGCGUAGGCGGGCGGUCAAGUCAGAGGUGAAAGCCCCCAGCUCAACUGGGGAAGUGCCUUUGAUACUGGUCGUCUCGAGGGAGAUAGGGGCGUGCGGAACUUCCGGUGGAGCGGUGAAAUGCGUAGAUAUCGGAAGGAACGCCGGUGGCGAAAGCGGCGCGCUGGAUCUCUUCUGACGCUGAGGCGCGAAAGCCAGGGGAGCGAACGGG
rnacentral:rRNA from 1 species